UACUCCGCAACCACCUGAUGUAGGAGCAGUGCUUCCAGUUAAACCUGUUGGACUAUAACCUGCUGUUGUGAUUUUUAACUUUGUACAUCCCAGUCCAACACCAGCAUCUCCAAAUUAUAACUUCCUUAGAUUUAAGUUGUUAACUGUGAUGUGAUGAUCUGAAUAUGGAAGAAAAACAACUUCGUGUAAUGCUUAUUUAUUUUCAUUUAUUUCAGAUAACUGAAAAUUGUAAUGUCAUUAUCCUUACAAAUCAUUGUAAUCGCAUUUGAAAGAUAGGAUUUUACAUUCCACAAUUUUUUUUGGGGGGUGGGGGGUAUUGCACUAGCAGCGGCAGGGUAGAAGACAAAUAAAAAAAUACUGAACACUGUAUGUAGUACUCUUAAAACAUUCUGCAAUGACAGUGUUAAAAACAUUUGCCAAAGUGCAGCCUUUUUCCAAAAUGAACAAGGUUCAUGGAUUCUUGCAAAUUGUAGUCCUUAAAUACUGUCCCUUGGUCUUGUUUUCCUAUGUAAAUCAAAGGUUAGAGUGGGCUUUUCAGAUUUAUAAGUGACAGUCCAUCUGUAAUCCUUCCUAUUCUCUUCUGUGUUCUUUUCAAGCAGAUCAAAAUGAUUUUUGUUUUUUGUGGAAGCACAUGUAACAAUCACAAUUAAACAUGGUAGCAUUUUUAUACUGAAAAAUUUCCCAAAUUAAUCAGAUUUGAAAAUAGACAUUGGUUCGAUCCACUUGUUCAGUUUACAGAACCAUGUAUUAUAUCCAAAAGGGAUGUGUAGUUCAUGUUCAGGAACUUAGUAUAAAAAUCAAUGAUCUCACUUUUAAUGUUGCA